rnacentral:lncRNA from 1 species
AAACAAUGAAAACUACUGUGGCGUGUUUCUUCAGACGGCACUGGUCCUGUGCGGAAGUGCCACACACAGAAGCAAAACAGCUCCCCGCCGCCCUGCGCCAACUCCCAGAAGCCAGCGACUCCUAGCAGCCUGCUCUGGGGUGAGCAGGAGCUGCAUAGAAACAAGUGACGCUUGUGACGGGCGCCCACUCACGAUCGGGAGCGUGUGUGGGCCAUCCGGGCACCGCAGGAGAGUGGAGCUCAGGGUUAUCCAUGGGGCCUUGGUGGCAGCACCUGCAGUGGGAGCCUCCGCCUUCCGGGAGGAGGAGAGGCGCGGUGCAGCCUAGGAGAGGGAUUCUUUUCUCGCUAAGGAGGCUGAGUGGGGCUGUGAACCCCAGAGUAGAGGUGGACCUGAAUCCCGGGCCUGCGGCCCCCCAGACGCUGGGUCCCUGCGACUCUCGGCUGAAAAGCCACUGACGACAAACGCUACCUGCGGCCUGCCGGCUCCAUAUGGAAUAACGGGCAGUGACCCGGGUGUCCACCCUGCCGGGCCACACCAGCCAGGCCAAAUGGACAAAGAGGGCGAUUAUCUAAACAGUUCAAAGAGCCCCAGGGGUCUCUGCUGCAGGUGUGGCCAACACCGCCUGGUGGGAAGCUACAGGGUCCCCUGGUGUGCAGGCUCUGCAGCUGCCUCCCUCCCGUGUCUGUGCCCCCCCCCCACGCACACUGGCCGCCAGUACAGGACAGACCGGCUUCCAAGGCCCAGCCCGAGCCAGCACAGGGCCACCUGGGCCAAGGGGGACACAGAGGCUCCUGAGCAAGGGGGUCCCUGGGCACACAGGCUGCAUCUUCAGAGUUAUGUUCAUGGCUCUGAGGUCACUGCCUGGCCCCUCUGCCCCUCUACGUGGACAAACAGAUUGGCGGGGUGGUGGCCUGCGCCUGUAAUUCAGGCUCUCAGGAGGCUGAGGCAGGAGGAUCGCAAGUUUGAGGCCAGUGAGGGCUACAUAGUUUAAGGCUGGCCUGGAGUACAGAGGGAGAUCUUGGCUCAAAAAAAGGAGGGAAGGAGGGAGGAAAAGGGAAGGGAAGAGGAGGGGGAGAGAGAGAGAGAGAGAAAGAGAGAGAGAGAGAGAGAGAGAGAGAGAGAGAGAGAGAAGGGGAGAGAGGGAGAGAGAGAGAGGGAGAGAGCGUGCCCUCCUUCCGGCUCCUGGUCAGAACACAGUCCCUGGCCUCCCCAUUCCGGGUGUCCCCAGUCCCAGCCCCAUUUCCUGCAAUGCUGACCUCCUCUCCCUUCCCAGUGCUCUGUGCCUGAGGGGCCGGAGAGGACUUGUUUUGAACCUCGCCUGUGUCAGGCCGCUCCUGAGAGGAGCCUCCGGUGGCCCUGGGAAUGGGACUUGUAACCCUGCCUGUCG